rnacentral:lncRNA from 1 species
UCCCCUUCCUUAUGGGUGUUCCCCUCCCAACCCUCCCCCCAUUGCCGCCCUCCCCCCAUAGUCUAGUUCAUAGCCCUGGGGGUUCAGUCUUAGCAGGACCCAGGGCUUCCCCUUCCACUGGUGCUCUUACUAGGAUAUUCAUUGCUACCUAUGGGGUCAGAGUCCAGGGUCAGUCCAUGUAUAGUCUUUAGGUAGUGGCUUAGUCCCUGGAAGCUCUGGUUGCUUGGCAUUGUUGUACUUUUGGGGUCU